rnacentral:rRNA from 1 species
UACAGAGGGUGCGAGCGUUAAUCGGAAUUACUGGGCGUAAAGCGCGCGUAGGCGGCUUUUUCAAGUCGAUUGUGAAAAUCCCCCGGGGCUUUAACCCUGGGAACUGCAGUCGAGACUGUCUAGCUAGAGUAUGGGAGAGGGAAGUGGAAUUUCAGGUGUAGCGGUGAAAUGCGUAGAUAUCUGAAGGAACAUCAGUGGCGAAAGCGACUUCCUGGACCAAUACUGACGCUCAUGUGCGAAAGCGUGGGGAGCAAACAGG